rnacentral:rRNA from 1 species
UACAUGCAAGUCGAGCGAACGGACGAGAAGCUUGCUUCUCUGAUGUUAGCGGCGGACGGGUGAGUAACACGUGGAUAACCUACCUAUAAGACUGGGAUAACUUCGGGAAACCGGAGCUAAUACCGGAUGAUAUUUUGAACCGCAUGGUUCAAAAGUGAAAGACGGUCUUGCUGUCACUUAUAGAUGGAUCCGCGCUGCAUUAGCUAGUUGGUAAGGUAACGGCUUACCAAGGCAACGAUGCAUAGCCGACCUGAGAGGGUGAUCGGCCACACUGGAACUGAGACACGGUCCAGACUCCUACGGGAGGCAGCAGUAGGGAAUCUUCCGCAAUGGGCGAAAGCCUGACGGAGCAACGCCGCGUGAGUGAUGAAGGUCUUCGGAUCGUAAAACUCUGUUAUUAGGGAAGAACAUAUGUGUAAGUAACUGUGCACAUCUUGACGGUACCUAAUCAGAAAGCCACGGCUAACUACGUGCCAGCAGCCGCGGUAAUACGUAGGUGGCAAGCGUUAUCCGGAAUUAUUGGGCGUAAAGCGCGCGUAGGCGGUUUUUUAAGUCUGAUGUGAAAGCCCACGGCUCAACCGUGGAGGGUCAUUGGAAACUGGAAAACUUGAGUGCAGAAGAGGAAAGUGGAAUUCCAUGUGUAGCGGUGAAAUGCGCAGAGAUAUGGAGGAACACCAGUGGCGAAGGCGACUUUCUGGUCUGUAACUGACGCUGAUGUGCGAAAGCGUGGGGA